GCCUCAAUCUGUUUAUAGAUCGGACAGUGUGUCCGACACGCAAACGCAUUUUCAUCCACGUGACCGAUAUGCUGCCAAUUUUUGCUUUUUGGUGUGCAUAUCAAAAAAUUGCCCAGAGUUUACAUAAUUCAAUCAAAUACAAAUAUCUCAUAGUUUCGUAAUCAAAUAAAAUCAUAUACCUUGCACACUAAAUAAAUUUAAAUUGUCGCAAAUACAUUCGAAAGAAAAAAGAGCCGAUGCAUUUAUUUGUUAUUAAUGUGAGCCCACAUAUGCUCAACCAAUUUUAUUUUAGUUGAAUGUGAGUUUUCCAAUCACGUAUUUGUUGAUGAAAUUCGAUUAAUUUUGCAAAAGUGGCCGCUUCUCCAUGCGCAAGCACAAUAUUUUCACACUGAAAUUAAAUUCCCCGAUCGUAGCUUUUAUUCGGUGCUCAUCUUCUACGAUCAUGUUAUACACGAUCACACAAGCAGUCGUCACCUUCCACAGCUUCUUGGUGCUCCAAGUUCUAGUAGGAUGUUGAACGAUGCUCCAUCAAGAUUGAAGAACACUGAAAGCACGCUCCACAUCCUUUAUAUCACUCUUUUAUGCUUGGAAAAUCUCUACCUCUUCUCUCUUAUCGUGUUGGGGAUUGUCUCGACAAAGGUAGUCUACUAAGGAUAGGUACCAUCAGUUAGGUAGUAGCCUUUGUUUUAGUGGUAGCCAUUGAUCUCAACGUUGGCCUGUAGACAGUUGCCUUCUACAACCCUUGCGAAGACAGGAGGGCACUGAAGCACAUUGAUGUCAUUGUGAGAGUCGGCCACGCCGAAGAAUGAGUCUCAAAUCCAGAGAUCUUGUAAAGCCACAACCUCAAGUAUGAUAAUGCAAGCUUUCACAUGGCCCUCAUAUUGCC
rnacentral:lncRNA from 1 species